rnacentral:lncRNA from 1 species
GAGAAGUCAAAUACUUGAUGCCUAAUCCUAUGGAAAUCUACUUUUCAAAGUCUCACAACAGCCACAAAACUCCAUUUCUGGCAGCUUUUUCUGCAAGGGUAUCCAUGGUAAAAGCAGACUGUUACAGCUUCACUUAGCCAAAGAAGAGUUAUACCCUGGUGUGGUCUAGUGAGACAGGACUGUCUGCAUUAGCUUUGUGUAAACAUGUAGUGCAAUGUGUGUGGAACAGGACAUAUCCUGCUCCAAGGAGAAAAAAAAAUUGGGGAAAAAAAAAAAAAGCAAAACCCAAGAUAAAAAUCUUUUAUUGACAAGACAUCAGACUAAUGAGACACAAAAGGAAUGCUUAAUGAAUGACAAAGUAUAA